CUCGGGAGGCGGGGCAGCGCGUGCGCGUGCAGCGAGUGCGGCCCUGCGUAGUACGCGGAUACCUGUGCACGCGUGCGGUUUCACCCUGAAGCUCGGCACUGGUGAGUGGAGGACCGCUCGCUUGAGGAAUGGAUUUUGAAAAUCUUUUCUCAAAACCUCCCAACCCGGCCCUCGGUAAAAGACCGGCCUCGGACCCUGACAAAAGAAUCCAUGAUGAACUAGAUGAUACAGAAGUUGAAGAGGCUCAAGAAGAAAAAAUAAAAUGGAAAGUUAAACUGGAAUGUGAGCAAAUUCCCAAAAAAGUUAGGCACUUUGGAAACUCUGCAACAUCACCAAAGAGUUUGCCAUAUAGAAAAUCAAGAAGUAAAGACUAUGAGUCAUACAGUGAUAAUGAUACCUGCAGUCAGGAACCAGAAAAUAAUUUUGAAAAAGAACUUCAAAAGUACAUACGAGCUAAAGAAUUGGCAAAUGCUGUUCAGCUCCUGCCAUCUUCUAAAGAAUCUAUGACAAAAGAGGGAGUAAAAGCUACCAAGCUGUCUGCUAAACCAAAACAUAAAAAUCUUAAGCCUGGUCACAAGAAUGGUAAACAGAAGAAAAUGAAACGAAAACGGCCUGGCACUGGAAACAAAGAGCCAGAUGCCUUAUUGCAGAAGAGCAGUCCUCAAGGAGAGGAUGGUGCACCUAAGGAGAAGCAGCAGCAUGUGAGAAUGAGUCAGGGAUUCAUCAACCAGCACACUGUGGAACGCAAGGGGAAGAAAGUCUGCAAAUACUUUCUUGAAAGGAAAUGUAUUAAGGGAGACCAAUGUAAGUUUGAUCAUGAUGCAGAAAUGGAAAAGAAAAAGGAAAUGUGUAAGUUUUAUGUACAAGGAUAUUGUACCAGAGGCGAAAACUGCCUGUAUUUGCAUAAUGAAUAUCCUUGCAAGUUUUAUCACACAGGAACAAAGUGUUAUCAGGGAGAGCAUUGCAGGUUUUCACAUGCUCCACUGACUACUGAAACACAGGAACUGUUGGCUAAAGUUUUGGAUGCUGAAAAGAAGACAUGUAAAUAAAAUAGUCUAAAAAAGACACUGUUCCACUGUCUUCUGACAUUUAGAACUGCAAGAGAAAAAUCUGAGCUUUUGUACAGAUGAAGAGUGGUUACGUCUGUUGUCUGUUCCAGCCUGAGCUGGUGAUUUGGAGUCACUCACAGGAUUCCUCACUUCAGGGGUCCUUUUGUGUCCUUCUGCUGAUGUGCUGCUCUAACAGUGGCACAGAGGGAUGGAGUUGCCCUGUGCAAGUGAAAGAAGGGAUUGGUCUUCAACCAGAUGUGCCAGCUCUUGAGACAGGAGAAGAGCACAAACGCCAAGAUGCAGGCUUGUGGGUUCAUGUGGCAGUAAAUUGCAGCUGUGUUUUCUGUUUGAGAUUUCUGAACAAAAUAAGAAAAGUUAGUCUUGAAUGAAGAUAUCAAGAAGUUAGGAAGAUACUGGGAUAAUAUAAGUUAGAUCUCUACAUGUCAUUAAAUACUUUGACAUCACAUUUUUAAUGAUCACUCACAGUUCCAUUUUAUAGCUUAAAAUUUAUGAUU